rnacentral:rRNA from 1 species
GCAGCCGCCGCGGUAAUACGUAGGGUGCAAGCGUUAAUCGGAAUUACUGGGCGUAAAGCGUGCGCAGGCGGUUAUAUAAGACAGAUGUGAAAUCCACGGGCUCAACCUGGGAACUGCAUUUGUGACUGUAUAGCUAGAGUACGGCAGAGGGGGAUGGAAUUCCGCGUGUAGCAGUGAAAUGCGUAGAUAUGCGGAGGAACACCGAUGGCGAAGGCAAUCCCCUGGGCCUGUACUGACGCUCAUGCACGAAAGCGUGGGGAGCAAACAGGAUUAGAUACCCCCGUAGUCCCUGUCUCUUAUAC